CUAUUAUUAACAUAAAAAAUACACAUUACAAGAUGACCCACGAAGAUACAAAUACUUUAUCAUGAGACGACAUACGUCGUCGUUGGUGUUUUAAAAUUUUAUUAAGUAUUAAUUUAUGGUGGACGCUUCAUAUUAGAAUUUUUCAUGUUUCACAUAUAAAUUCAUAAAAGUCAUAGUUUUCUUAAGAAGAUGCCAUUAUUUUUUCAAUUAGAGGCCUUACAUAAGCCACAAACUUCUCUUGCUCAGGGGUGUUUUCUUUGAUGAUUGGAACAUCCUUGAAAUUAUUAAACCAUAAAUGCAAACGGGGGAAUCUCUCACUUUUUAAGAUCUUCACUUCAAACAUAUCUUCUUGAACCUCAAUAAAUUUGACAAAGGAUCCAAGAGCUAUGUCUACAAUGUUAAUGGUUUCUCCCCCAUAGAACUUAUUAUGAUCAUCCAAGCACUGGUCCUCAACAACUUUGAGUCGCUCCGAUAAAUUCUCCCUGGACUUUUCUCGUUCUUCACCUUUAAUUAUGCUUCGAUGGAACGCCCGAAUUGCCGAAAACUUCAAGUAUUGAUCCCAAUAUUAUUGUUAGUUUGAAUCAAGAUAGAAGGUAAAAUAUAAAGUUUUUUUUUUUGAAGCAGGUAAAAUAUAUUUGUUAUAGUCCAAUGAUUUUCUAUAGUAAGGGAGAGGUAAAACAAAUUUUAAUAUAUGAGAUUUUUUUUGUGCAUAUGAGACCUUUUUGUUUAUUAAAUCUAAUGAAAAAUAACUUUUUGUUUGUGCUUAAAAUGAAGGUUUUAGAAGUCUUACUCUUGAUUGGUCUUGAAUAUAGUUAUAAAUAGGCAAAACUACAACAUGAAUCCUUUAACUCAAUUUAAAGUUUUUUUUUUAGCAACUCAGUCUAAAGGUUUAAAAAGGUCGUUUAUAUGUUUUUUUCCAUGUCAAGCUGGUCAUUUAUGUUCAAAAACUUCAUUGGUAUUUAACCAAACUUCAUUUUUGAUAUAUGUAUGUUAUCAAAACUUUUACGAAACCAUUCAAAGAGAUUAAUUACAUCUUCAUUUUAUCAAUACAACAUCUAAAAUACAUCAUAACGGCUACUACAAUAUCAAAAUUAGCAUGAUAUAUUUUAAUUUUUUAUCCAAGAUUGUGAUCUUGUUAUCAACUAGAGUCCAAUUUUAGUGUUGAGUGUGGAACAUUCUUAAUAGUAUAUAUUCAAAGACCAUGUAGACAAUGGUAAAUAAGUGGAAUAAGAAUGAAAGUUAAGUCACUAGUGUAAGUAUUUUUAAAGAUAAAUGACUAAUUUGAUAUGGAAAAAGAAAAAUGAUUUGUUUGGAACUUUAAAUUAAGUUAAAUGACUUAUGGGUAGAUUUGCCUAGAAAACGAGUGGAACAUGUAUUGUGCAAGUGCAGUUUCAUGAUCACGAUGAAAAGGCUAGAAAUAAAAAAUAAAAAAAAGUAUACAAAUAUGAUGAUUAGGUUUUGAAAUUUGUUACCAUAUCAUCAAUAUAUUUAACCCAAAAUCGGGCUUGAGCUCUAGCAUAAGGAUCAGCAGGAAGCAAUGAAUUUUGUGGCCAUAUCUCAUCAAUGUAUUCAACAAUAAUCAUGGACUCACAUAUGGGUUUUCCAUCAUGAACCAGCACUGGAGUUUUUUUGUGUAUUGGGUUAUAUUGAAGAAGUUGAGGAGUCCUAUUGAAGUGAUCUUCUUCUAUACUAUCAUACGGUAUACCCUUCAGAUUUAGGGUCCAUACCACCCUUAAAGUGAAAGGACUAUACCAAGAUCCAUGUAGUUUUAUCUCUGCCAUCUUAAUUAGCCUGUGCAUGUUUUCCUAAAUGAAACACUAACCCUUUUUAAUAGGGUCAUCCAUGGAGCCAUUUGGCUUGGUCAACUAUUCAAAUUAAAAAGUAAAAUAGAAUACGUGUUACUAUCGCUUUGAUUUUUUACUCCAAUCCAUCGCUAUCAUUAACAAAUAUAACAAUUUGAAUAUGAAGUUGUGGAUUUAAUUAAGAUGAGAAAAGACAAAAUUGUGAAAAGAAAACAAAAUAUGACGAAUUUUUUCUAUA
rnacentral:lncRNA from 1 species